GUGAAGGAUACAGAUCCAUUGGAAAUUGUUUUUAUAGAUAAAUUGCCUCAACAAGAUCAGUGUGACUGCGGUGUAUUCGUUAUAAAGUAUGCUGAAUACUUUAUACAUGAAAUGAUCAACAAUGUCCCCAAAACUUUGAAUAUGGAUUUCGUCCGAAAGAAGAUGUGCGUUGAGCUUUUUGUGCAUGCUAUGAAGAAGGAGUUGAAUGGAUAUGAAUCUGGUUCAGAGUUUACUGGGAAGAUGCCCAAAGCUACUAGGGGAGCUUUGAAGAUUGGAUGAUUAGUGUUACAAUUACUAUCGUUUAGUUUAGACUGUUAUUUUGUGGUUUCCUGAUGUUUUGUAAUUAGCACUUGUAGUAUUUUGCAAACUUUAACAUGUAGUUUUUGGUUUUAUGUAACUGUUGUGUGUUGUGGAACACUUAAUUAGGUGGUAUACGGACCUUGUAUGUUGUGGAACAUUAUUUUGUGUAAAUGAAACUUUUGUGUACUUAAGAAACUAAUUAGUUUACUUUUUUCAAUUGAUGAUUAGUUUACUUUUUCAAUUGAUGAUCAAUCUAAUUAAAAUGGAUUUUUUUUUUCAGGAAACAAAUCACUAUCAUCAGAUAUUUUUCUUGUUUACAUAUCGAUAUGAGAGGGUAACAGGUACAUUUUUUUUUAUAAUUGGUGUGAGGAUACGAAUAGGUAAUAGAUAUAUUAAUUUUUUUUUUAUUUUUUAAAAAAUUGCAUAUUAAUUUUCAUUUGAAGAUCAUUAUAAGAAAAUAUAAAACCUGAAAUGGAUGGAUAUGGGUAACAUGUUUGUUUAUUUUUUUGACAUGUUUUUGUUUUUGUAAAAUCAGAGGAACCAUUAUGUUCAUAAUAGUCCAAGACAUAGUACUAAUGUAGUACUUAUUACUUUAAGUAUCAAAUGUUGUGAAAAAAUGCUAUUUUUUUUUAAGUACUGAUGUUCUUUCUCUUUCGGGUUGGCUUUGGAACUGGUUCAUUUUUGCACGAUCUUUUGUUGUGUCCUUUUUGGUUGCAUGAUCCACAUUUGACCUGUGUUUUUGUUUCCAGCACACCUUUGUACCUUUGUUUUUUUGGCCGCCCUGCUGGCCUCUUGUGUGUUGGGGGUAGAACAAUCAUAUCUUUUAUAUGAUCCGGUAUAUCCCAAGUUGUAGAAUCUGCUAGUGGGAAGAUAUUAUCUUCAUAUGUUGACAAAAAAGCCUUUUUUGUGUAGUAGUAAGAGCAGUAGCUGUAGCAUGAUAGAUUCCUUUUGGUUAACACAGCCAUUGCAUGUGAGCAAGGCAUUUCAUCAUAUUCAAAUUUCUGACAGCUGCAUGUUUUUUUUUCCAGGUUUACUAUGUAUGAGUCGGUACAAUCAUGUACUUUGUAUACAAUCAGGUUUGAUGUUUCCACCUGUGAAAGUAGUUAUAUUUUAGUUACAUUAUUGAUUGCAUAUAAAAAAAAAAAAUUUAAGCAUGUUUAUUGGUAUACAAACGAGUUUGAUUUUUGUUAUG